rnacentral:lncRNA from 1 species
GUAGCUAGGUUGAUAAUGUUUGAAGGAGGGACUUUAGGAUAUACUUAUCUACUUUGGAUGAGGAAUAAGUGUUGGACCUCAAGGGACUGUUAGAUGCCUUUCACUCUAUUCAUCCUCAGCUUGAUUCAGAAGACUCUUUUAUUUGGUGGAGGGAUGUGCAAGGUUUUUCCGUGAAGGAAAGUUAUGACAUACUUCAUUACCUUUUUGUAUCAGGUCCAUAUGUAGAUGAUCUUAUCCUAGGCGUGUUGAAAAGUCUAUGGAGGGUUG